GAUGAAGAACGUAGCGAACGUGCGAAACGUAAUGUGAAUUGCAGAAUUCAGUGAAUCAUCGAAUCUUUGAACGCAUCUUGCGCUCCUUGGUAUUCCGAGGAGCAUGCCUGUUUGAGUGUCGUGAAUACUCUCAACUUCAACCCUUUUUUCGGAAAGGAAGGAAGGUUGGACUUGGGUGUUUGUUGAAGUGCGAGCUUCGACUCAUCCUAAAUGCAUUAGCGAUCUGCCUCGAUCACACACAAUGUGAUAAUUAAAACUAAAGCAUUGUUUAAUGAUCAAGUCGAGACUGCUUCUAACUGUCGCAAGACAAUAACGUGCAUACAUUUGUGCAUGUCAUUUGACCUCAAAUCAGGUAGGACUACCCGCUGAACUUAAGCAUAUCAAUAAGCGGAGGA
rnacentral:misc_RNA from 1 species